AAGUCGUAACAAGGUCUCCGUAGGUGAACCUGCGGGAGGGAUCAUUACAGCAGUUACGAUGCCCUAACGGGUCAGAUCCUCCCACCCUAUUGUUAUUAUUAUCUUUUGGGUUCGCUUUGGCGGGGCCGUCAGGCCUCACGCCCGGGCUACCGGCUCACGCUGGUAAGCCGCCCGCCACGACGACCCCAAACCCUGAAUGUUAGUGUCGUCUGAGUACUAUAAUUAAUGUUAAAA
rnacentral:misc_RNA from 1 species